rnacentral:rRNA from 1 species
UAGGGAAUCUUCCGCAAUGGACGCAAGUCUGACGGAGCAACGCCGCGUGAGUGAAGAAGGAUUUCGGUUCGUAAAACUCUGUUGUUAGAGAAGAACAGCGCAUAGAGUAACUGUUAUGCGUGUGACGGUAUCUAACCAGAAAGCCACGGCUAACUACGUGCCAGCAGCCGCGGUAAUACGUAGGUGGCAAGCGUUGUCCGGAUUUAUUGGGCGUAAAGCGAGCGCAGGCGGUCAAUUAAGUCUGAUGUGAAAGCCCCCGGCUCAACCGGGGAGGGUCAUUAGAAACUGGUUGACUGGAGUGCAGAAGAGGAGGGUGGAAUUCCAUGUGUGGCGGUGAAAUGCGUAGAUAUAUGGAGGAACACCAGUGGCGAAGGCGACUCUCUGGUCUGUAACUGACGCUGAGGCUCGAAAGCGUGGGUAGCAAACAGG